GCCCUAAAAGCCGGACAUGUUUUUUUUAUUGCCAAACAUAAUGUUUUUACAGCUGGGCUGUUGAAAAAAGUAUCUGACAAAAAGCCUGACAAAAGCCGGACAGGCCGAACACGUACAUAUUUGGCCGGACGCGACCGCAAGAAGCCAAACAUGUCCGGCUAAAGCCGGACACCUGGCAAGCCUAUUCGCGAGUGGCUGUCUAGACUGAUAGAGACGGUAAACAGACAAGGGUAUCAACAUUUGGGCCGCCAUUUUGUGAACAAUAUCAGUACUGUUCAGUGACUGUGACGAAUGAUUUUUGAAAUAAAAUAAAGGCUUUGAACCUCUGA